GGGCGAUUGCACCGAGUGGUUAAAGGGGACGGGCUGUAAACCCGUUGGCUAUGCCUACCGAGGUUCGAAUCCUCGAUCGCCCACCA
rnacentral:tRNA from 1 species